rnacentral:rRNA from 1 species
UGCCAGAGCCAUAUCACCCUGCAGCCCAAGACCGGUUACUCACUGAAGUUAAGCAGGGCUGAGCCUGGUCAGUACCUGGAAGGUAGACCACAUGGGAAAGCUAGGUUGCUUUUGGAA